rnacentral:rRNA from 1 species
AACGGGCGGGCAUUCAUCACUCCGGCGAACCGACCGGUGGCUUCGCGCGUCGCAUUCGUGCGCGUCGCGAUGGCUGCCGGCAAUCGGCCGCCGAGUGUGCAUUUGCCAUGCCCGAGUAGAAACACUGCGAGCCGUUGGAUGGGCGUCGAUGGCCGGUGAUGAAGUUCGUUUUGGGGUUUCGGCCCCGUUUCGAGCCACCGCGCCUGGCCUCGUUCGACGGUGAAUCGAUGACGCGAGCCCGCACCUCCGCGUGCGUUCGGCUCUCGACAAGCGGCGGCGGUGUUUUCCGGCAGUUCGGUGCUUCGGCCCCGACGUCGGACCCGUCACGUUAUUAGUCGGGAUGCUCUCGGACCGUGGCUCCGUCGUUCGCCAGUGAGUUUGGCCGCAGGCACCCUCAGGACCCGUCUUGAAACACGGACCAAGGAGUCUAGCAUGUAUGCGAGUCUCAAGGGAACUCGAUACCCUCAGGCGCAGUUAACGCAAAUGACGCUUCGCGUCCUAAUGGAGGAUGGGCGACCGCACGCGGUCGCCUCGCACUCCUGGGGCGUUCCGAUCUCGUCGAGAUGGAGCGCACCAAGAGCACACAUGCUGGGACCCGAAAGAUGGUGAACUAUGCCCGGUCAGAACGAAGUCAGGGGAAACUCUGAUGGAGGUUCGUAGCGAUUCUGACGUGCAAAUCGAUCGUAAGAACUGGGUAUAGGGGCGAAAGACUAAUCGAACCAUCUAGUAGCUGGUUCCCUCCGAAGUUUCCCUCAGGAUAGCUGGCGUUCGGAUGGGAGUUUCAUUCGGUAAAGCGAAUGAUUAGAGGCCUUGGGGUCGAAACGACCUCAACCUAUUCUCAAACUUUAAAUGGGUGAGAUCUCCGGCUUGCUUGAAAGUGAAGCCGCGAGACUUACG